rnacentral:lncRNA from 1 species
CUGGGCGCGGAAAAGGCGGGAAAAUAGACUGCUCCGAGGUUAGCAACCAUCUAACCUGGAAAAGGGCCUCCAAGUGCGAGGAAUCUUUGCGCGUCGACGCUGGGAAAACUCAAUCGGUCAAAUCUCUUACGGAAAUUGAGGCGCUGCAGGUUGCAAGACUUGCCAAGAAGAAAACAAGACAGGUGUUUACCAAAGCCAAGUCAACCAUGGGGAGAGCUCAAGUAACCUAUGCCCUAUGCCAACCUGUGUCCAAACUAGAGAGUCAACAGGAAAGAGUCCCCCAAAACUUCUAAGCCUGCCUACCCUAAAAUCCCCACCUCAAUCCAACCCCCAAUAAACACCAUACACGCCACUGGGCAAAAAAGCUUUUUAUUUUCCCCCACAUUCCAGCUCUUCACUUUUUCUAAAACCUUUUCCAACUCAGAGCCAAGGCCCAAGAAGUUGAUUCACACCUGGGGAGAAAGAAAAUAAAACAACAAAACAGGUCGAAGAGCUGCUAGAGGAAGCUCUGAGAUGUGUGCAGAAAUUGAGGAAGGAGCAGAGGGAGUGACAGCUAGAGACCAAUACGGGCAUUUAAUCCCAACUAAGGUAGCCUCAGGACCCCAGGGUCUGUCAGGGGCCAGGAAGCCCUCCUUUCCCAGUCCAAGGUUGAGAGGGUCCUGUCAUUUCCUGUCCCAAGUAGGUGGUUGGGGCAUUUAGGCCCAGCCAUCAGCAAAAUAAGCACAGUUGAUCUUGAGCUUCCACUUCCUCUGGCCUGAUCAGUUCCCUGGGCCUCAACUAUUUCCACUUUUCCCAUAGUAACUUCCUAGGGCACUGCAGCCAGCUGAAGCUGAGACCAGUUCAAGAGCUGGAUGCAUAACACAUGGCUCUCAAAUUUCAUGCACCCCCCUCUGACAAGUGAAGAUUUUUUGCAGAAAUAUUUUUUCCUUUAGUGAGCUGAUGUGUGAACUGGUUAACCAACAUGACCCCCACCCACUGCUACGUUUGUGAAGCUGAUUCCCUCCAAAGAUCUUGUUAACGGAAUCAGCUUUUUCUAAAGGUAACGAUGACUAAAUGGAAGACAGAAGGUGCAUGUCAAGUUCUUGGGCACAUACUAUGUCCCCAGUAAAUGAGUAUCAUCAGUUAGACUCUUCUGAGCGGUUCAAGUUGAAUUUUACAAAAUUUCCAUCAUAAAACUGGGUAUUGGAAUUUCAGGACAAAAGCAAGACAAACAUGGUUCAUAUUCAGGACAAAUCAUCAAAUGUGAACCCUCUUAACUCACCAUUGUUACCCAAAUGCUUGGAUGUGAACUAGUUAUGAGUCUUAAAAUCACAAUGUUGCUUGAAAGAAGUCAGCCACAAAAGAAUGUGUAUGAUUCUGUCUACAUAGUUUCAAAAAUAAGUAAAACCAAACUAUAUUAUUUAGGAAUACAUACAUGGCAAUACAUUAUAAAGCAGGACAGUAAUUUCUAGGGAGAGAGAGGGCAUUGUCAGGAAGGAAGGGACCAUGGGGGGUUUCUGGACAGCUGGUAAUAUUCUAC